AACGAACGCUGGCGGCAGGCUUAACACAUGCAAGUUGAGCGCCCCGCAAGGGGAGCGGCAGACGGGUGGGUAACGCGUGGGAAUCUACCCAUCUCUACGGAAUAACGCAUGGAAACGUGUGCUAAUACCGUAUACGUCCUUCGGGAGAAAGAUUUAUCGGAGAUGGAUGAGCCCGCGUUGGAUUAGCUAGUUGGUGGGGUAAAGGCCUACCAAGGCGACGAUCCAUAGCUGGUCUGAGAGGAUGAUCAGCCACACUGGGACUGAGACACGGCCCAGACUCCUACGGGAGGCAGCAGUGGGGAAUAUUGGACAAUGGGCGCAAGCCUGAUCCAGCCAAGCCGCGUGAGUGAUGAAGGCCCUAGGGUUGUAAAGCUCUUUCACCGGUGAAGAUAAUGACGGUAACCGGAGAAGAAGCCCCGGCUAACUUCGUGCCAGCAGCCGCGGUAACAC
rnacentral:rRNA from 1 species